rnacentral:sRNA from 1 species
AAGCGGGGGGGCACUUACGGACCGUACUGUCCAACUGUACCACGUUGAUGCUUCGGCGCGCGCUUCGGCGCCGCCGAGGACACUUAAACUCUUUGUUUUUAUAAGCAUUUCUGAGUGGCCGAAAGGCAAAAAUACAAAUGAAUCAAAACUUUCAACAACGGAUCUCUUGGUUCUGGCAUCGAUGAAGAACGCAGCGAAAUGCGAUAAGUAAUGUGAAUUGCAGAAUUCAGUGAAUCAUCGAAUCUUUGAACGCACAUUGCGCCCGCCAGCAUUCUGGCGGGAAUGCCUGUUCGAGCGUCAUUUCAACCCUCGAGCCCGACUCUUCGGAGGACGGCUCGGCGUUGGGGGACGGCAGACUCCCCCCGGCAUCUCGCCGGGGACGCCGCCCCCGAAAUUUAGUGGCGGCCCUCCGAGGCGACCUCUGCGUAGUAACUUGUUCUCGCACCGGAAAGCUCAGAGCGGCCACGCCGUAAAACCCCAACUUUUUUUAGG